AGGGUAAUGGCUUAAUUGGUAAAGCAAAUGACUUUUAAUCAUAGGAGUUCGGGUUCGAGCCCCGAUUACCUUA
rnacentral:tRNA from 1 species